AUGUAAACCAAUAUGGCGGCAGGGAAAACACGUUGUGAUAAUAGUAAAGCACUCUCCGUGUUAUGACCAGUUGUUUUAAAGGUUGGAGUGACCAGUACAAAGACCCGAGGAAGAAGGGAAGCUGCGAUUGCUGUUUCAUAAAGAUGAUGACAUGAAAACUUUGGACAAACAGUGAGUGACCAGUUGACCGCAGCAAUGUCUUCCGAUGUGACAUGAAUUUGGCCUCCAUCGAAGUGACCUAUGUCCAUUUCAAACUUGCCAGGUCAAAAACUGUUUGACUUCCGACACAACAAAGCAGAAGGCUCUGACCAAUCUGGACAAAUAAAACCUUGACCUGACCCUGAUGUGUAAAUCCAAUCUGAUUCAUCAAAACGCCUGGAUAGCACAAGCUAUCAUAUACACAUUAGGAGAUUAAGUGAGAAAAUAAGCAAGGAAAAUGAUGUUCAACAAAGUAACUUAAACCAGAAAUAAGCUGCACAUGUGUGUAAUGCAUGUGGAGACUUAUUGUUUAGGUUCCAAUGUUUUAUAGAAAGUUGUAAGAAUGUUGACAAUGUUUGUCAUUUGAGCAGCCCGCAGUGCAGGACUAGAGACUGUUACCCAGGGAGAGUUGAUCAGUUUGGAUGGGGGUGUUUAACUGAUGGAUAUCAUAAAGAAUUUUGGACAAGAUCCAGCAUCUUGUGGAAUCUCAAAUUACUCCCCUUGUAUUAGGCCUUUUGUUCUACCAGUACUUCUUUCAAAAAGAGGGAGAGGAUUAUCUAGAUUUUAUCACACAUAUCUCCCUGGAAUAAUUUGUAUCUCUGACACUCAGGUUUGCUGGAAGGAAUGGUGGCGCAUCUGUACCGAGGUAUAUUUGUGGAUGUUAAAGCUGGUCUGUGGAUGAACAUUGUGAAGUUGGACUGGCAUCUGAUAGCCACACAGUCUUAAGAUACCACAGACACUAUCCUGGUCUUACAAAUCUUACAAAGCCCAAAACUUUAUCAUACACUGGAAUAAUUUGAUUACACACAUGUUAAUUGUUACUUAAUGUGUAUUAGUAUGAGGGUACAUUACAGAAUAAAUGUGGCUGUAUAAGAGCUGCUUCCUCAAUAAAUGUGUAUACAUUUCAAUUAAAUCUCCAACUGUUUUAUGACUUUUUUUCCAUUUCAUCGUGAUGUUGUAUGGCAACAGCUAAUUUACUAAAUACCAACAUUUGUGGGACUGUGGCUUUUGAUAAAAGAGAAUUA